UUGACGGGGACCCGCACAAGCAGCGGAGCGUGUGGUUUAAUUCGUUGCUACACGAAGAACCUUACCUGGGUUUGACAUAUAGGUUGUAGGGAACUGAAAAGGGACCGACCCUUCGGGGAGCCUAUACAGGUGUUGCAUGGCUGUCGUCAGCUCGUGUCGUGAGAUGUUCGGUUAAGUCCGCUAACGAGCGCAACCCUCGUCGUAUGUUAUAUGUGUCAUACGAGACUGCCGGUAAAAGCCGGAGGAAGGUGAGGAUGAUGUCAAGUCAGCAUGACCUUUAUAUCCAGGGCUACACACACGCUACAAUGGUCUGUACAAUGGGUAGCCAAGCCGCGAGGCGGAGCCAAUCCUGAAAGCAGGCCUCAGUUCAGAUUGCAGUCUGCAACUCGACUGCAUGAAGCCGGAGUUGCUAGUAACCGCAGGUCAGCAAUACUGCGGUGAAUACGUUCCCGGGUCUU
rnacentral:rRNA from 1 species